AUUGAACGCUGGCGGCAUGCCUUACACAUGCAAGUCGAACGGCAGCGCGGGGCAACCUGGCGGCGAGUGGCGAACGGGUGAGUAAUACAUCGGAACGUACCCAGAAGUGGGGGAUAACGUAGCGAAAGUUACGCUAAUACCGCAUACGUUCUACGGAAGAAAGUGGGGGAUCUUCGGACCUCAUGCUUUUGGAGCGGCCGAUGUCUGAUUAGCUAGUUGGUGAGGUAAAGGCUCACCAAGGCGACGAUCAGUAGCUGGUCUGAGAGGACGACCAGCCACACUGGGACUGAGACACGGCCCAGACUCCUACGGGAGGCAGCAGUGGGGAAUUUUGGACAAUGGGCGCAAGCCUGAUCCAGCAAUGCCGCGUGAGUGAAGAAGGCCUUCGGGUUGUAAAGCUCUUUUGUCAGGGAAGAAACGGCUGGGGCUAAUACCUCUGGCUAAUGACGGUACCUGAAGAAUAAGCACCGGCUAACUACGUGCCAGCCGCCGCAGUAA
rnacentral:rRNA from 1 species